rnacentral:rRNA from 1 species
GUACACUCCUGCGGGAGGCAGCAGUGGGGAAUUUUGGACAAUGGGCGAAAGCCUGAUCCAGCAAUGCCGCGUGUGUGAAGAAGGCCUUCGGGUUGUAAAGCACUUUUGUCCGGAAAGAAAUCCUUGGCUCUAAUACAGUCGGGGGAUGACGGUACCGGAAGAAUAAGCACCGGCUAACUACGUGCCAGCAGCCGCGGUAAUACGUAGGGUGCGAGCGUUAAUCGGAAUUACUGGGCGUAAAGCGUGCGCAGGCGGUUUGCUAAGACCGAUGUGAAAUCCCCGGGCUCAACCUGGGAACUGCAUUGGUGACUGGCAGGCUAGAGUAUGGCAGAGGGGGGUAGAAUUCCACGUGUAGCAGUGAAAUGCGUAGAGAUGUGGAGGAAUACCGAUGGCGAAGGCAGCCGCCUGGGCCAAUACUGACGCUCAUGCACGAAAGCGUGGGGAGCAAACAGGAGUAGAAACCCCAGUAGUCCCAUGA